UACGUAGGUGGCAAGCGUUGUCCGGAAUUAUUGGGCGUAAAGCGCGCGCAGGCGGUCCUUUAAGUCUGAUGUGAAAGCCCACGGCUCAACCGUGGAGGGUCAUUGGAAACUGGGGGACUUGAGUGCAGAAGAGGAAAGCGGAAUUCCACGUGUAGCGGUGAAAUGCGUAGAGAUGUGGAGGAACACCAGUGGCGAAGGCGGCUUUCUGGACCGACACUGACGCUGAGGCGCGAAAGCGUGGGGAGCGAACGGG
rnacentral:rRNA from 1 species